UACGUAGGGUGCAAGCGUUAAUCGGAAUUACUGGGCGUAAAGCGUGCGCAGGCGGUUUUGUAAGUUUGUCGUGAAAGCCCCGGGCUCAACCUGGGAAUUGCGAUGAAGACUGCAAGGCUUGAAUCUGGCAGAGGGGGGUAGAAUUCCACGUGUAGCAGUGAAAUGCGUAGAGAUGUGGAGGAAUACCGAUGGCGAAGGCAGCCCCCUGGGCCAAUACUGACGCUCAUGCACGAAAGCGUGGGGAGCAAACAGG
rnacentral:rRNA from 1 species